GACAAGAUAUUUAGGUGACUUACAGCAACCAAUUGCAACAAAACAAAAUGUUAAGAAAUGAUCUUUUUAUGAGGCAAUUGGAAAUUUGAACACUGAUCAACUAUAGGAUGAUUGGAAUUAUUAAUUUUGUAAAGGUGUGAUAAGAUACUGCACUUGGCUGGGCACAGUGGCACAUGCCUGUAAUCCCAGCUACUUGGCAGGCUGAGGUGGGAGAAUCGCUUGAGCUCAGGAGUUCAAGACCAGCCUGGGCAACGUGGCGAAAUCCCCGUCUUUAGAAAAACAAACAAACAAACAAAAAAGUUAUUGCAGUUGUGUUGUAAGCGUCCUUAUCUUUCAGAGCUACAUAGUGGAAUGUUUAUGGAAUAUUUAGGAUAAAUGAUAUAGGCAUUUGGGAUUUGCUGCAAAAUGACCCAGAGGCAGGGGUCAGGGGGAGAGGUAGAGAUGAGACAAGAGGUAGAGGGGAGAGGUAGAGGUAGCCACGAGCUGAUAAUUACAGACAAGAGAUGCGGAGUAUGUGGGGGCUCAUUAUCCUGCAUAGUCUAUCUUUGUAUAUCUUUGAACUUUUCAAGAAUAAAAAAGCUUAAAAAGUAUACAUGGCCUGGUCCUACCAGAGACUCACCCAAUGCCAGCCUCCAGCCAGGGAGAGCCAAGUUUGCAUUUUCACACGCAUCUCACACUCCUCUGCACUCUCAACUUGGAGAGCUCCAAACAGGGAAACCCCAAGCCUUGCUGGCUUCUGCCAACCCCCUGAGCAGAAGCAUGGGUCCCCCUGAUCACCACCUCACCACCCUCAUCCUGAUCUCACUGUACAC
rnacentral:sRNA from 1 species